GGCAGUCCUAAAGGGGGCAGCUGCUCAUAUUGGAAGCAGUCUGCCUCAACACUGGAGGCCAGACUUCCCAAGAUUUUUUGAGGCUUCUCCAGGUGCCUGUUCUUAACCUCCAGAGUUCCAACAGGAGGUGUUGGGGUGAGAAUUGUUCAUACCCAUUGCUGCAGACCUGGUCUCAAAACUGCUGCUGGAAUUACCGAGAUGGAAGCGAAUUCCUCUGAAUGAGGUUUUGAAGCUGGUUAGAAGAUAGGUUUGGGGGACAUCUUGCGGGGGAGCAUUAUUCUGCCUACCAAAGCACUCAAUCUGGAUUUGGGGAUCAGAAAAAGCUUCCUGGAGGAAUUGAUGCCUAAGAAGAGAUUUAAAGGAUGAAGAGGAGUACCUACUUCUGGAGAGAAGAAGUAUUUAUCAGAAGAGUGGAGCAACAGUGAGUGGACCAAUUUGUUCAAGAAAGAACUUACUGUUCAGCCACAAACUGGGCCUGGAGAUGGUACACAUCACAUCCAUCCAUCUUCUGUUGGCCAGAAUUUAGUCAUACGAUCAUACCUCACUGCAAGGAGCUUGGGAAAAGCAGUCCAGCUGCAUUCCCAGGAGGAAGAGGAAAGAGGUUUGGCGGAUACCUAGGCAGUCUAUGCCACAGAGGGAUGAGGUCAACCCAGCCAUCAGCAAACUAGAAUCAGUGCCUGAUUCCAUAUUCAAUUCAUUGAAAUUAAGACACUGAAGAUUCCUGUUACAAGCAAUGCAAGCAAACGCAAAACAUAAGGGAAUGGCAAUUUGAUGUCUGGACACAGGAAAUGAUCCCUCAGUCUUUCUGGGCUUCACAAAGGAGGAUCAAAUCAGCAAUUUUCCAGCACUCUCUGAGGAUAUGGAAUGGAUGGCUCAGCACAACUCUUCCUCUUACUAGGGCCACCUCCUCACAUGCCUUAAUCUGCAUGACAGAAUGCAGGGAUGUGCUGCAGGUUUCAACUUCUUCUUUGUGUUCCCUCUUCAAGUGUAAAAUAGCAG
rnacentral:lncRNA from 1 species